UGCAGUAAUUUAUGCUGCACGUUACCAAUUGCUCAACUUUCGACCAAAUACGUUUUGUCGGUGAUAUAUAAGCUAGCGGUUCGCUUUAGUUUAAAUUUUUGUAGCCAGUAGAAGUGUUCAUUUUAUUAUGAUCAAGUGGAUUUUUAGCGCUGACUAUAGUCAACUUCUCGACGAGUUGUACUGCAGAAAAUGCAAUAAGUUUAUUAGAGGAAUUGAACGAUUUUGUUGACUUGCUGGAUGUAGAUAACAAAAUACGCCUAACAAACAUUUACUAUCUGAACGAUAGGGAUUUCCAAUCGAUAUUGUAAUAUGUGCAAAGUGAUGAGUUCUGCAGAGUAUGGACAGGAUUUUUCAAUCUGCUGGCGAUACGCGAUCUUGGAAUGUACUUGACUUCAGCGGGUAUUCCUGUGUAUGAUUAUGUUGAACUUGUUGGAAAUUUUAUUGGUCAACCUCCCGUAAACUGUCGUACGAUACGAUACCCUCAUGGAGGGCUUCAAGGGAUAUGUGGAGAAGCUAUUGGGUAGUUUACCAUUAAAUGAAUGGUUUGAGCUCUAUAAAGUAAAACAAGAGAAAAGUGAUCCAUUUAAGUCAUUUAUCAACCAAGUUCGAGGAGUAAACUUGACAGAGUUUAACGAAUUCUAUCAGGUAUGUAGACAGAACAAGUUAUAUUGCAAUAUAAAUAUUGUAUGUUUAUUCAUCUCUAGACCAAUAACGAAUGUAGAUCAUUUGUGCAAGUGCUUCGAAGUCAUGGUAUCCAAGUCGAGCUGUUGCAAAAGGGAAUAAAAACGUGGGUAUUGUAUGGAAAAUUUAAAUUUGAUCUAUUGUAGAAAAAAGUAACAUCACUUUAAACUGUACUUGUAAACAAAAUUUAAUCAAUUGUUACAGAAAAAAAAAAUCUAAUGCUAAGCAAAAUAGUGUUAUGUAGAAUAAUCGGUAACAAUAAAAAUAAAUAAACGAGAAUGAUUAUA